rnacentral:snoRNA from 12 species
AACUGAAACUAAGACAAUCGUCUUUGAGAACUGAUCUGAAAUGAAGAGAGUACUCAUUGCUGAUCACUU